GAGCCAGGAUUAGAACCCAUGACCUCUGACUCCCAAACCCAUGGUCUUUCCACUGAGCCAGGCUGCUCCUCAGGAGAGAUCUCUGAAAAGUGAGCACUACAGCCUUCUGAAGCCCCAAGAAGUCUGGGUUGUUCGUCAUUUGGAAAUGGAAGUCUGAUUUAACAGAGCCCGUUGUUGGGUAGGGACCGUCUCUGUUGCCGAAC